AGAGACAGCAGCAGCCGCGGGAAUACGGAGGGUGCAAGCGUUGUCCGGAUUUAUUGGGUUUAAAGGGUGCGUAGGCGGCCUAAUAAGUCAGUGGUGAAAGCCUCCAGCUUAACUGGAGAACUGCCAUUGAUACUGUUAGGCUUGAGUAUACUUGAGGUAGGCGGAAUUGACAGUGUAGCGGUGAAAUGCAUAGAUAUUGUCAAGAACACCAAUUGCGAAGGCAGCUUACUAAAUUAUAACUGACGCUGAGGCACGAAAGUGUGGGUAUCAAACAGGAUUAGAUACCCCUGUAGUCCCUGUCUCUUAUAC
rnacentral:rRNA from 1 species